rnacentral:rRNA from 1 species
AUUGAACGCUGGCGGCAGGCCUAACACAUGCAAGUCGAACGGUAACAGGAAGCAGCUUGCUGCUUCGCUGACGAGUGGCGGACGGGUGAGUAAUGUCUGGGAAACUGCCUGAUGGAGGGGGAUAACUACUGGAAACGGUAGCUAAUACCGCAUAACGUCGCAAGACCAAAGAGGGGGACCUUCGGGCCUCUUGCCAUCGGAUGUGCCCAGAUGGGAUUAGCUAGUAGGUGGGGUAACGGCUCACCUAGGCGACGAUCCCUAGCUGGUCUGAGAGGAUGACCAGCCACACUGGAACUGAGACACGGUCCAGACUCCUACGGGAGGCAGCAGUGGGGAAUAUUGCACAAUGGGCGCAAGCCUGAUGCAGCCAUGCCGCGUGUAUGAAGAAGGCCUUCGGGUUGUAAAGUACUUUGCAGCGGGGAGGAAGGCGAUAAGGUUAAUAACCUUGUCGAUUGACGUUACCCGCAGAAGAAGCACCGGCUAACUCCC